GGGAGCAUAGCUCAGCUGGUAGAGCACUUGCCUUACAAGCAAGGGGUCACAGGUUCGAGCCCUGUUGUUUCCACCA
rnacentral:tRNA from 1 species